GACGAACGCUGGCGGCGUGCUUAACACAUGCAAGUCGAACGGUAAGGCCCUUCGGGGUACACGAGUGGCGAACGGGUGAGUAACACGUGGGUGAUCUGCCCUGCACUUCGGGAUAAGCCUGGGAAACUGGGUCUAAUACCGGAUAGGACCACUGCCUGCAUGGGUGGUGGUGGAAAGCUUUUGCGGUGUGGGAUGGGCCCGCGGCCUAUCAGCUUGUUGGUGGGGUGAUGGCCUACCAAGGCGACGACGGGUAGCCGGCCUGAGAGGGUGACCGGCCACACUGGGACUGAGAUACGGCCCAGACUCCUACGGGAGGCAGCAGUGGGGAAUAUUGCACAAUGGGCGCAAGCCUGAUGCAGCGACGCCGCGUGAGGGAUGACGGCCUUCGGGUUAUAAACCUCUUUCAGCACCGACGAAGCGCAAGUGACGGUAGUAGCAGAAGAAGGACCGGCCAACUACGUGCCAGCAGCCGCGGUAA
rnacentral:rRNA from 1 species